rnacentral:rRNA from 1 species
GGGUUGUGAGGUUAAGCGACUAAGCGUACACGGUGGAUGCCCUGGCAGUCAGAGGCGAUGAAGGACGUGCUAAUCUGCGAUAAGCGUCGGUAAGGUGAUAUGAACCGUUAUAACCGGCGAUUUCCGAAUGGGGAAACCCAGUGUGUUUCGACACACUAUCAUUAACUGAAUCCAUAGGUUAAUGAGGCGAACCGGGGGAACUGAAACAUCUAAGUACCCCGAGGAAAAGAAAUCAACCGAGAUUCCCCCAGUAGCGGCGAGCGAACGGGGAGCAGCCCAGAGCCUGAAUCAGUAUGUGUGUUAGUGGAAGCGUCUGGAAAGGCGCGCGAUACAGGGUGACAGCCCCGUACACAAAAAUGCACAUAUUGUGAGCUCGAUGAGUAGGGCGGGACACGUGGUAUCCUGUCUGAAUAUGGGGGGACCAUCCUCCAAGGCUAAAUACUCCUGACUGACCGAUAGUGAACCAGUACCGUGAGGGAAAGGCGAAAAGAACCCCGGCGAGGGGAGUGAAAAAGAACCUGAAACCGUGUACGUACAAGCAGUGGGAGCACGCUUCGGCGUGUGACUGCGUACCUUUUGUAUAAUGGGUCAGCGACUUAUAUUCUGUAGCAAGGUUAACCGAAUAGGGGAGCCGAAGGGAAACCGAGUCUUAACUGGGCGUUAAGUUGCAGGGUAUAGACCCGAAACCCGGUGAUCUAGCCAUGGGCAGGUUGAAGGUUGGGUAACACUAACUGGAGGACCGAACCGACUAAUGUUGAAAAAUUAGCGGAUGACUUGUGGCUGGGGGUGAAAGGCCAAUCAAACCGGGAGAUAGCUGGUUCUCCCCGAAAGCUAUUUAGGUAGCGCCUCGUGAAUUCAUCUCCGGGGGUAGAGCACUGUUUCGGCAAGGGGGUCAUCCCGACUUACCAACCCGAUGCAAACUGCGAAUACCGGAGAAUGUUAUCACGGGAGACACACGGCGGGUGCUAACGUCCGUCGUGAAGAGGGAAACAACCCAGACCGCCAGCUAAGGUCCCAAAGUCAUGGUUAAGUGGGAAACGAUGUGGGAAGGCCCAGACAGCCAGGAUGUUGGCUUAGAAGCAGCCAUCAUUUAAAGAAAGCGUAAUAGCUCACUGGUCGAGUCGGCCUGCGCGGAAGAUGUAACGGGGCUAAACCAUGCACCGAAGCUGCGGCAGCGACACUAUGUGUUGUUGGGUAGGGGAGCGUUCUGUAAGCCUGUGAAGGUGUGCUGUGAGGCAUGCUGGAGGUAUCAGAAGUGCGAAUGCUGACAUAAGUAACGAUAAAGCGGGUGAAAAGCCCGCUCGCCGGAAGACCAAGGGUUCCUGUCCAACGUUAAUCGGGGCAGGGUGAGUCGACCCCUAAGGCGAGGCCGAAAGGCGUAGUCGAUGGGAAACAGGUUAAUAUUCCUGUACUUGGUGUUACUGCGAAGGGGGGACGGAGAAGGCUAUGUUGGCCGGGCGACGGUUGUCCCGGUUUAAGCGUGUAGGCUGGUUUUCCAGGCAAAUCCGGAAAAUCAAGGCUGAGGCGUGAUGACGAGGCACUACGGUGCUGAAGCAACAAAUGCCCUGCUUCCAGGAAAAGCCUCUAAGCAUCAGGUAACAUCAAAUCGUACCCCAAACCGACACAGGUGGUCAGGUAGAGAAUACCAAGGCGCUUGAGAGAACUCGGGUGAAGGAACUAGGCAAAAUGGUGCCGUAACUUCGGGAGAAGGCACGCUGAUAUGUAGGUGAAGUCCCUCGCGGAUGGAGCUGAAAUCAGUCGAAGAUACCAGCUGGCUGCAACUGUUUAUUAAAAACACAGCACUGUGCAAACACGAAAGUGGACGUAUACGGUGUGACGCCUGCCCGGUGCCGGAAGGUUAAUUGAUGGGGUCAGCGCAAGCGAAGCUCUUGAUCGAAGCCCCGGUAAACGGCGGCCGUAACUAUAACGGUCCUAAGGUAGCGAAAUUCCUUGUCGGGUAAGUUCCGACCUGCACGAAUGGCGUAAUGAUGGCCAGGCUGUCUCCACCCGAGACUCAGUGAAAUUGAACUCGCUGUGAAGAUGCAGUGUACCCGCGGCAAGACGGAAAGACCCCGUGAACCUUUACUAUAGCUUGACACUGAACAUUGAGCCUUGAUGUGUAGGAUAGGUGGGAGGCUUUGAAGUGUGGACGCCAGUCUGCAUGGAGCCGACCUUGAAAUACCACCCUUUAAUGUUUGAUGUUCUAACGUUGACCCGUAAUCCGGGUUGCGGACAGUGUCUGGUGGGUAGUUUGACUGGGGCGGUCUCCUCCUAAAGAGUAACGGAGGAGCACGAAGGUUGGCUAAUCCUGGUCGGACAUCAGGAGGUUAGUGCAAUGGCAUAAGCCAGCUUGACUGCGAGCGUGACGGCGCGAGCAGGUGCGAAAGCAGGUCAUAGUGAUCCGGUGGUUCUGAAUGGAAGGGCCAUCGCUCAACGGAUAAAAGGUACUCCGGGGAUAACAGGCUGAUACCGCCCAAGAGUUCAUAUCGACGGCGGUGUUUGGCACCUCGAUGUCGGCUCAUCACAUCCUGGGGCUGAAGUAGGUCCCAAGGGUAUGGCUGUUCGCCAUUUAAAGUGGUACGCGAGCUGGGUUUAGAACGUCGUGAGACAGUUCGGUCCCUAUCUGCCGUGGGCGCUGGAGAACUGAGGGGGGCUGCUCCUAGUACGAGAGGACCGGAGUGGACGCAUCACUGGUGUUCGGGUUGUCAUGCCAAUGGCACUGCCCGGUAGCUAAAUGCGGAAGAGAUAAGUGCUGAAAGCAUCUAAGCACGAAACUUGCCCCGAGAUGAGUUCUCCCUGACUCCUUGAGAGUCCUGAAGGAACGUUGAAGACGACGACGUUGAUAGGCCGGGUGUGUAAGCGCAGCGAUGCGUUGAGCUAACCGGUACUAAUGAACCGUGAGGCUUAACCUUACAACGCCGAAGCUGUU